rnacentral:rRNA from 1 species
CCUACGGGUGGCAGCAGUGAGGAAUAUUGGUCAAUGGACGAGAGUCUGAACCAGCCAAGUAGCGUGAAGGAUGACUGCCCUAUGGGUUGUAAACUUCUUUUAUAUGGGAAUAAAAUGUUCCACGUGUGGGAUUUUGUAUGUACCAUAUGAAUAAGGAUCGGCUAACUCCGUGCCAGCAGCCGCGGUAAUACGGAGGAUCCGAGCGUUAUCCGGAUUUAUUGGGUUAGAAGGGAGCGUAGGUGGAUUGUUAAGUCAGUUGUGAAAGUUUGCGGCUCAACCGUAAAAUUGCAGUUGAAACUGGCAGUCUUGAGUACAGUAGAGGUGGGCGGAAUUCGUGGUGUAGCGGUGAAAUGCUUAGAUAUCACGAAGAACUCCGAUUGCGAAGGCAGUUCACUGGACUGCAACGGACACUGAGGCUCGAAAGUGUGGGUAUCAAACAGGAUUAGAUACCCCGGUAGUC